GACGAACGCUGGCGGCGUGCUUAACACAUGCAAGUCGAGCGGAAAGGCCCUGCUUUUGUGGGGUGCUCGAGUGGCGAACGGGUGAGUAACACGUGAGUAACCUGCCCUUGACUUUGGGAUAACUUCAGGAAACUGGGGCUAAUACCGGAUAGGAGCUCCUGCUGCAUGGUGGGGGUUGGAAAGUUUCGGCGGUUGGGGAUGGACUCGCGGCUUAUCAGCUUGUUGGUGGGGUAGUGGCUUACCAAGGCUUUGACGGGUAGCCGGCCUGAGAGGGUGACCGGCCACAUUGGGACUGAGAUACGGCCCAGACUCCUACAGGAGGCAGCAGUGGGGAAUAUUGCACAAUGGGCGGAAGCCUGAUGCAGCAACGCCGCGUGCGGGAUGACGGCCUUCGGGUUGUAAACCGCUUUCGCCUGUGACGAAGCGUGAGUGACGGUAAUGGGUAAAGAAGCACCGGCUAACUACGUG
rnacentral:rRNA from 1 species